CGCGUAGGCGGUUUGUUUAGUUAGGCGUGAAAUUCCUGGGCCUAACCUGGGGACUGCGCUUAAUACAGGCAGACUUGAGUUCCGAAGAGGGUCGUGGAAUUCCCAGUGUAGAGGUGAAAUUCGUAGAUAUUGGGAAGAACACCGGUGGCGAAGGCGGCGACCUGGUCCGAUACUGACGCUGAGGCGCGAAAGCGUGGGGAGCAAACA
rnacentral:rRNA from 1 species